GUGAGGAAUAUUCCGCAAUGGGGGAAACCCUGACGGAGCAAUGCGGCGUGCAGGAUGAAGGCCCUCGGGUCGUAAACUGCUUUUAUAUGAGAAGAAUAUGACGGUAACAUAUGAAUAAGGGACGGCUAACUACGUGCCAGCAGCCGCGGUCAUACGUAGGUCCCAAGCGUUAUCCGGAGUGACUGGGCGUAAAGAGUUGCGUAGGCGGCUCGUUAAGCGUGAAAUGAAAUUUAUCGGCUCAACCGGUAAACUAUUUCGCGAACUGACGGGCUCGAGAGUAUGAGAGGUUACUGGAAUUUCUAGUGUAGCAGUGAAAUGCGUAGAUAUUAGAAAGAACACCAACGGCGUAGGCAGGUAACUGGCAUACAUCUGACGCUGAGGCACGAAAGCGUGGGGAGCGAACCGGAUUAGAUACCCCAGUAGUCC
rnacentral:rRNA from 1 species